GUAUUACAGAUGUAAGCCACCACACCUGGCCAGGGGUGAGCCUUUCUUAUGUUGACUUGAAGUGUGAGACUCCAAGCUAGCCAAAUAAAUCACUGGGCUACAUCUCCAGACAAGAACAACUCUCACUUCUUUCUUCUCAAAGCAUUGUUGCACAGGUCUGCCUGAUUCCAGAGAAAGUUGCUGUAACCACUGUGUAAUUAUAUUACCUGAAGAAAGGGAAUCAAAGUGUGAGGGGGACAUCAAGGUGUUCUCUAACGUCAUAAAUCUGUG
rnacentral:lncRNA from 1 species